UCCAUCAUCGUGACGGUUUUGUUCUUUCGAUUCGUCUCCAUCAAGCAAUCCUCUCUCUCUCUCUUGCAUCUGAAAAUUGACUUUGUUAGUCUAUAGAUUCAUGGUUUUGUUUCUGAUUUGGUAAAGUUGUCAUCUUUGAUUAUAUUUCACCCCUUUGAGUCCGCUCUCGAUGCCCUAAACCAAGUUAACGCCGUCUCUGAAGGGGUUAUGACUGCCGAGCUUAGAAGUUUUCUGGAGUUGAAUCUUCCUAAGGUCAAAGAAGGCAAGAAACCCAAGUUCAGCUUAGGAACCUCUGAGCCUAAACUCGGUUCCCACAUAUUGGAAGCCACCAAAAUCCCCUGCCAGAGCAAUGAGUUCGUUCUUGAGCUUCUCCGUGGUGUGCGUCUGCAUUUUGACAGCAUGGUGAUCUGGAAAAGUCUUUUCCUUGACCUCGUCUAAAGACAAGGGAGCUGAGUCAGAUGCCGAGUUCUAGAGUCAGAUGAUGAUGCUCAGGAAUGGUUUUGUAAUGGGAAGGACAACAGAUUCGGUUGAUCAUUUCCACAACUUGAGGCUUGAUGUUGAUAGUAUGUCAUACGAGGUUGGUUUAAUUGAAGGGCGAGUUGGUGUCCAUCAUCUGGAUGAUUCUCAACAGAACAAGAACUUCACAUUCAAAUGUCAACAGAGAUGGGAAUGAGAUCUAUUCUGUCAACGCUCUGAACUUCCACCCGAGGAUUUCGACGAAGCGAUUUUAUACCAAAGAACAAACCUGAUCAGUGCGAAUCAAGGACGUCGGUGCCCAAAACUCACAGGAGUAGGAGCUUCAACAGUGUUCACAAGAUAUUGUUGGGAGUACUUUAACCUUCCAAUUGAACAUAUCCCACUUCAACUUGACUGCAAAGCAUCAGAGCUUCACUGUUUCCCACAUUUAGGAACCGAUCAGCGUCCACCGCAGUCUAAUUUGGAGGUUCUGGGUGGGAAUAACAAUCUGGGAGAUGAUAUGUAAGGUGCUGGAGCAGUCAAAAAGAGCAACGUUUCUGGAGUUAAAAUAACCUAUGUGGAUCAUGGUACCUGUGUUGGCGAUGAAGCGGUUGAAGGUGGACUAGCUGAUGCAACUGCUCCAGGUCACAACUCUGUUAAUUGAAGGGAGAGGAGAGGAGUCACCAGUGAAGGAAGAUGGGUUCUCAGGAAAGAAGGCACCAAUCGAUUGACAUCGAAAGAGCAAGGGGAACCAAAGUUACAAGACACGAUGAUUUUUUCGUUGUAUUUCCAGACACUAUCAUAUCAAGUCCGACUACUUUAAAAAAUUUCUAUCAUUGGUUUCCUUGGGUUUUUAAACUCCACCAUAUCAGACAUUUUCAGUUAUAAAAUAAGGCAUCCUGUUUGCCAAAAAGAUAUUUUUCCUAACAAAUUAUAAUCAAAUAUUAACAAUUAAUGGAGAGGAUGGACUGAUCCGAAAUGCAUAUUUACGAAAACCAAACUUUGUUCUUAGAUUUUACAUUAACAAGUUUCACUAUUUGAAAGUUUAUUACCCUUUCCAAACAAUAAUAAUCAAAUAGUAAGCAAUUAGUGUAGGAUGGACGGAUGCCAAAUGCAAAUUCACAAACAAAACUAAAACAUUGUUCUUUUUUUUUUGUAUUGUAACUGAAAAACAAACACAUUUUAUUUUAGUAGCUAUGCAAUUAAAUGGAUCGAAAAAAUAUCAAAU